AUGAACGCUGGCGGCGUGCCUAAUACAUGCAAGUCGAGCGAACAGACGAGGAGCUUGCUCCUCUGACGUUAGCGGCGGACGGGUGAGUAACACGUGGAUAACCUACCUAUAAGACUGGGAUAACUUCGGGAAACCGGAGCUAAUACCGGAUAAUAUAUUGAACCGCAUGGUUCAAUAGUGAAAGACGGUUUUGCUGUCACUUAUAGAUGGAUCCGCGCCUCAUUAGCUAGUUGGUAAGGUAACGGCUUACCAAGGCGACGAUGCGUAGCCGACCUGAGAGGGUGAUCGGCCACACUGGAACUGAGACACGGUCCAGACUCCUACGGGAGGCAGCAGUAGGGAAUCUUCCGCAAUGGGCGAAAGCCUGACGGAGCAACGCCGCGUGAGUGAUGAAGGUCUUCGGAUCGUAAAACUCUGUUAUUAGGGAAGAACAAAUGUGUAAGUAACUAUGCACGUCUUGACGGUACCUAAUCAGAAAGCCACGGCUAACUACGUG
rnacentral:rRNA from 1 species